UGGGGAAUAUUGGACAAUGGGCGAAAGCCUGAUCCAGCCAUGCCGCGUGUGUGAAGAAGGUCUUCGGAUUGUAAAGCACUUUAAGUUGGGAGGAAGGGCAUUAACCUAAUACGUUAGUGUUUUGACGUUACCGACAGAAUAAGCACCGGCUAACUCUGUGCCAGCAGCCGCGGUAAUACAGAGGGUGCAAGCGUUAAUCGGAAUUACUGGGCGUAAAGCGCGCGUAGGGGGUUUGUUAAGUUGGAUGUGAAAUUCCCGGGCUCAACCUGGGAACUGCAUUCAAAACUGACUGACUCGAGUAUGGUAGAGGGUGGUGGAAUUUCCUGUGUAGCGGUGAAAUGCGUAUAUAUAGGACGGAACACCAGUGGCGAAGGCGACCACCUUAACUAAUACUGACACUGAGGUGCGAAAGCGUGGGGAGCAAACA
rnacentral:rRNA from 1 species